rnacentral:tRNA from 1 species
GCUCCCGUAGUUAAACGGAUAUAACGGUGGAUUGCGGUUCCGCUAUUUCAGGUUCGAGUCCUGACGGGAGCA